rnacentral:lncRNA from 1 species
UGUGGAUAUGUGAAUUUUUUCCAAAUCGGAUAGCCUAUGUGAAUUUUAUCUAAAUAGAAUAAAAUUCACACAUACUUUCGAGAGUCAUUGGAGAACUAAUCCCAAUGAAAACGGUCAAUAUUGGGUCAAUAUUACUAACGUAACAAUGGAAAAGAUUUUCGCAUAUUUUGGAACAAAUCCUGCGCGGCUAUGGCCGGUUUAUUUCAAAUAUCUAUAUUAAUAAAGAUUCAUCUACAGAAUCAUCAUCGUCGUCAGCCGUUUCGAUCCAGAGCAGAAUGAAGGUCUCUCAGUAAACCGGCCAACCUUUUCUGUUGACGGAUCUCCUUGUCCAGGAAAUCCAUAUAAACUUCUGAAUUUUAUGUGUGUAUUGGAUAUAUUGUCGUCGUCUUAUUUUUUGGAAUCUAUCCUAAAACUUUUAGUAUCCAUCUGUUGUUGUUUUUUCGCAUCAGAUGUCCAGCCCAAUUCCAUCUUAGUCUCUUUAUUUUUCGAAGACGUCUGCUACUUUUGUCUGUUUCGUUAUCCAUAUAUCUUGUUUAGUGUUAACCAGUAUGCAUCUCUCUAUGCUUCUUUGUAUUGUUUUCAGUUUCCGAAUUAUUAUUUUGGAGAUCAGAGAUCGCGAACUUUUGUGGCUAGGGUUCGUUUUGUUCUAAAAUAGAAUCGCAUACACGAGCACCAGGUAGAUCGAAGAAAAUUCAAAGAGGAAAACAAAAAAAAAAAACACUAAAACGAUCCUUCUAGAAAGCGUUUCCAAAG